GGCGGCAGGCUUAACACAUGCAAGUCGAGCGGAAACGAUGGUAGCUUGCUACCAGGCGUCGAGCGGCGGACGGGUGAGUAAUACUUAGGAAUCUACCUAGUAGUGGGGGAUAGCACGGGGAAACUCGUAUUAAUACCGCAUACGACCUACGGGAGAAAGGGGGCAGUUUACUGCUCUCGCUAUUAGAUGAGCCUAAGUCGGAUUAGCUAGAUGGUGGGGUAAAGGCCUACCAUGGCGACGAUCUGUAGCUGGUCUGAGAGGAUGAUCAGCCACACCGGGACUGAGACACGGCCCGGACUCCUACGGGAGGCAGCAGUGGGGAAUAUUGGACAAUGGGGGAAACCCUGAUCCAGCCAUGCCGCGUGUGUGAAGACAGGCCUUUUGGUUGUAAAGCUACUUUAAGCAGUGAAGAAGACUCUUCGGUUAAUACCUCGGAGRGGAWGACAUUAGCUGCAGAAUAAGCACCGGCUAA
rnacentral:rRNA from 1 species